rnacentral:rRNA from 2 species
GUACGAACGCUGGCGGCGCGCUUAACACAUGCAAGUCGUGCGGUACCGAUGGCAAGUCCUUACAGACGAGCUUUCGGUACAGCGGCGGACGGGUGAGUAACACGUGAGUAGCUGUCCUAAGGAGGGGGAUAACGCCUGGAAACGGGUGCUAAUACCCCAUAUGCCUCGCAAGAGGUGAAAGUGUACUCGUUACAGCCUUAGGGUGCGCUCGCGGCCUAUCAGCUAGUUGGUGAGGUAACGGCUCACCAAGGCUAAGACGGGUAGCCGGCCUGAGAGGGUGUACGGCCACACUGGAAUUGAGAUACGGUCCAGACUCCUACGGGAGGCAGCAGUGGGGAAUCUUGGGCAAUGGGCGAAAGCCUGACCCAGCGACGCCGCGUUGGGGAUGAAGCCCUUCGGGGCGUAAACCCAUGUUGUAGGGGACGAAGAAAGUGACGGUACCCUACGAGAAAGCCCGGCCAACUACGUGCAGCAGCSGGGUAA